UUCACAUUAUUUUUACAUGACAUGAAAUAUUCUUCUCCUUUUGAUUUUUUUCAACAGUUAAAAAAUGUGGAAACUGUUCUCAGUUUGCAGGCCACACAGAAGCUGGCUGUCGACUGGGUGUGGGUCCUGAGCUGCAUUUCGGUCGCUGCUGAUUCCAUUUGUUUAUUGAGCCAAGUCAGUUUCUCUGCUGUGUGGAAGACCCACAUCCUACCUGGCAGCAAAGUGCAUCCGGGAUCUGCCUGCUGCUCCUGUCUCUCUGGUCCACUCAGUGCUCCACGACCCUCACUGGAACUUCCUGUCACCUCCCUGGCUCCCUGCUCCCAGGUCAGCCUCCCAUUCUGUUCUCCUACAGCUGCCAGAGCGAAUCUCUUGCCACCUCAAGGGUCCUCCCUGUGUUAGCCUCUCCCCCAGAAUAAAAGCCACAUGGCUGGGAACACUCUUGACUUCUUCACCUUGGCCUGCUGGCCCUGCCCUAGCCAUGCUGCCCCAGAACCCCCCUUGGCCACAAUUGGUAUACACCACAGGGCCUUUGCACAGGCUGUUCCUUCUGCUUUGCCCAAAUAUCACUUUCUCAAGCAGACCUUCCUUAAGUACUUAAAUAAUUUAAAGUGCAAAGAUGC
rnacentral:lncRNA from 1 species